GGAAACGGUUGCUAAGACUGGAUAGGAAACAAAAAGGCAUCUUUUUGUUUUUAAAAGACCUUCUUAUGAAGGUAUGCUUAAAGAGGGGCUUGCGCCACAUUAGUUAGUUGGUAGGGUAAAAGCCUACCAAGACGAUGAUGUGUAGCUGGACUGAGAGGUUGAACAGCCACAUUGGGACUGAGACACGGCCCAAACUCCUACGGGAGGCAGCAGUAGGGAAUUUUCGGCAAUGGAGGAAACUCUGACCGAGCAACGCCGCGUGAACGAUGAAGUAUUUCGGUAUGUAAAGUUCUUUUAUUGAAGAAGAAAAAGUAGUGGAAAAACUAUAUUGACGUUAUUCAAUGAAUAAGCCCCGGCUAACUAUGUGCCAGCAGCCGCGGUAAGACAUAGGGGGCGAGCGUUAUCCGGAAUUAUUGGGCGUAAAGGGUGCGUAGGCUGUUAGAUAAGUCUAUAAUUUAAUUUCAGUGCUUAACGCUGUCUUGUUAUAGAAACUGUCUUGACUAGAGUGAGAUAGAGGCAAGCGGAAUUCCAUGUGUAGCGGUAAAAUGUGUAAAUAUAUGGAGGAACACCAGAAGCGUAGGCGGCUUGCUGGGUCUUUACUGACGCUGAGGCACGAAAGCGUGGGUAGCAAACAGGAUUAGAUACCCUGGUAGUCCACGCCGUAAACGAUGAGUACUAAGUGUCGGGGUAAAACUCGGUACUGAAGUUAACACAUUAAGUACUCCGCCUGAGUAGUACGUACGCAAGUAUGAAACUUAAAGGAAUUGACGGGACUCCGCACAAGCGGUGGAUCAUGUUGUUUAAUUCGAAGAUACACGAAAAUCCUUACCAGGUCUUGACAUACUCUGCAAAGCUAUAGAAAUAUAGUGGAGGUUAUCAGGGAUACAGGUGGUGCAUGGUUGUCGUCAGUUCGUGUCGUGAGAUGUUAGGUUAAGUCCUAAAACGAGCGCAACCCUUGUCGUUAAUUGCCAGCACGUAAUGGUGGGGACUUUA
rnacentral:rRNA from 1 species